rnacentral:rRNA from 1 species
CAAGGCUUGACAUAUACCGAAAAGCAGCAGAGAUGUUGUGUCCGCAAGGGCGGUAUACAGGUGGUGCAUGGUUGUCGUCAGCUCGUGUCGUGAGAUGUUGGGUUAAGUCCCGCAACGAGCGCAACCCUCGUUCUGUGUUGCCAGCAUUUAGUUGGGGACUCACAGGAGACUGCCGUGGUUAACACGGAGGAAGGUGGGGAUGACGUCAAAUCAUCAUGCCCCUUAUGUCUUGGGCUGCACGCAUGCUACAAUGGCAGGUACAAAGGGCUGCAAUACCGUAAGGUGGAGCGAAUCCCAAAAAGUCUGUCUCAGUUCGGAUUGAGGUCUGCAACUCGACCUCAUGAAGUCGGAGUUGCUAGUAAUCGUAGAUCAGCAACGCUACGGUGAAUACGUUCCC